UAGCUCUGAUACCAAUUGAUA
rnacentral:miRNA from 2 species